rnacentral:rRNA from 1 species
UACAGAGGUCUCAAGCGUUGUUCGGAUUCAUUGGGCGUAAAGGGUGCGUAGGCGGCGCGGUAAGGUCGGGUGUGAAAUCUUGGAGCUUAACUCCGAAACUGCAUUCGAUACUGCCGUGCUUGAGGACUGGAGAGGAGACUGGAAUUUACGGUGUAGCGGUGAAAUGCGUAGAUAUCGUAAGGAAGACCAGUGGCGAAGGCGGGUCUCUGGACAGUUCCUGACGCUGAGGCACGGAAGGCCCAGGGGGGAGCAAAACGGGG